CCCGUACCCUACAGACUGUGCAGGUGUGUAUGAAGGACGCAGUGUCUGGGGUCCCGUACCCUACAGACCGUGCAGGUGCAUAUGAAGGACGCAGUGUCUGGGGUCCCUUAUCCUACAGACCGUGCAGGUGUAUAUGAAGGACGCAGUGUCUGGGGUCCCUUACCCUACAGACUGUGCAGGUGUAUAUGAAGGACGUAGUGUCUGGGGUCCCUUACCCUACAGACCGUGCAGGUGUAUAUGAAGGACGUAGUGUCUGGGGUCCCUUACCCUACAGACCGUGCAGGUGUAUAUGAAGGACGCAGUGUCUGGGGUCCCUUACCCUACAGACUGUGCAGGUGUAUAUGAAGGACGUAGUGUCUGGGGUCCCUUACCCUACAGACUGUGCAGGUGUAUAUUAAGGCAGCUUUGGCAGCAGCCUUUUGGUCGUGUCCUUGUUUCUUCUUCUGUCCAGCCUGCUUUUUGGCAUUUUUCUGCUG